rnacentral:lncRNA from 1 species
UGAGAAUGAACUCCCGAGUACACUGCUUGCAGCCCGUGACUGGAAUGUUAAUUUCGUCCUGCGUCCCCGGCUGGCUCCCUUCAACGACAAUCUUCCUUUGAAGACGUGGAUGACAUAGUAAAACCGAUUGCACUUGAGAGCCGAUUCCAUGACUAUUUUGCUGCAACAGCGAAAGGAAUGGCACCUUUCUGCAUUUCCUGAAAGGCACCCACCCACUACCUGGGAGAACUGGCCCCUGACUUUAGUGAUGAGCUUUUCUUUCUGGAAGAUGAGGAAGCAACCAAGGUCACGAUCGCCGCCCGUGUCACCUUCCCAUCUUCCUGGAGGGGCGACCAUCCCUUCCGUUGGGUACCGCCUCGUGUCCCUGCCAUUUCGUUGUAUAGCAUUAAAACUAGGUCAACUUGUCCUUUUAUUAAGUUCUUCCCAAAUAUAGCAGCGUCAAUUCCAGAAUGGUUUUCUGGGGG